rnacentral:rRNA from 1 species
AAAGUGCGAUAAUUAUUGCGACUUGCAUUCAUAGCGAAUCAUCGAGUUCUCGAACGCAUCUUGCGCCUAGUAGUCAAUCUACUAGGCACAGUUGUUUCAGUAUCUGCAACUACCAAUCAGUUCAACUUGGUUCUUUGAACCUAAGCGAGCUGGAAAUGG